GAGAGAAGCUUGCUUCUCUUGAGAGCGGCGGACGGGUGAGUAAUGCCUAGGAAUCUGCCUGGUAGUGGGGGAUAACGUUCGGAAACGGACGCUAAUACCGCAUACGUCCUACGGGAGAAAGCAGGGGACCUUCGGGCCUUGCGCUAUCAGAUGAGCCUAGGUCGGAUUAGCUAGUUGGUGAGGUAAUGGCUCACCAAGGCGACGAUCCGUAACUGGUCUGAGAGGAUGAUCAGUCACACUGGAACUGAGACACGGUCCAGACUCCUACGGGAGGCAGCAGUGGGGAAUAUUGGACAAUGGGCGAAAGCCUGAUCCAGCCAUGCCGCGUGUGUGAAGAAGGUCUUCGGAUUGUAAAGCACUUUAAGUUGGGAGGAAGAGCAGUUACCUAAUACGUGAUUGUUUUGACGUUACCGACAGAAUAAGCACCGGCUAACUCUGUGCCAGCAGCCGCGGUAAUACAGAGGGUGCAAGCGUUAAUCGGAAUUACUGGGCGUAAAGCGCGCGUAGGUGGUUAGUUAAGUUGGAUGUG
rnacentral:rRNA from 1 species